rnacentral:rRNA from 1 species
CCUACGGGAGGCUGCAGUGGGGAAUUUUGCGCAAUGCUCGUAAGAGUGACGCAGCGACGCCGCGUGAAUGACGAAGGCCUUCGGGUCGUAAAGUUCUUUCGACAGGGAAGAAAAUGCCUAUAAGUAACUGUGUAUGUAUUGACGGUACCUGUAUAAGCAGCCCCGGCUAACUCCGUGCCAGCAGCCGCGGUAAUACGGAGGGGGCGAGCGUUGUUCGGAGGGACUGGGCGUAAAGAGCACGUAGGCGGUGUUGUAAGUCAUUAGUCAAAGACUAGAGCUCAACUUUAGUAAGGCUAGUGAUACUAUAAUACUAGAGUAUCAGAGAGGAUUGCAGAAUUCCUGGUGUAGCGGUGAAAUGCGUAGAUAUCAGGAGGAAUACCGUUAGCGAAGGCGGCAAUCUGGCUGGAAACUGACGCUGAGGUUCGAAAGCGUGGGUAGCAAACAGGAUUAGAUACCCCUGUAGUC